rnacentral:lncRNA from 1 species
CAGGAAAGCCAGCGAACAUGCUCUGGGGCAGCUCCCAGUAGAGCAGCAGUCAGGAUGGUCACGGAACAUGUUCCCAGACCGCGUCACAGGAGGGCCAAGGCUCAACCAAUACCUGCUCAGCAAAGUCUUCUCUGGCCAAAACAGCAUCCCAGAGUCCAAAACCAAGAGAUUCACAAAACUACUGGAGGAUGUGCUCCACCAAGACACGAGAGUAAACCAAGAAAGGAGAAAGGCAUUGGACCCAGAAAGGAACACAAGUUGAUGUCAAUUUUGCUUCAGAUACCCCUACCUGCUCUGCUGACAGGUCAAAAAUCAAGAAAAGACCAUGCUUCCUGACAGACCCUUUGGGAACCAAGGCAAUGGUCUCCCCACCCGACUAAAGGUUAGCCAGCAUCAGGGAGCAGGAUCCCCCAGGGCCAGUCAUUCAAUAAAGAUUUAAAUACCCCC